AAUCCGGUCACGGCCAAAUCCAGCACUGCUCCCGAGGGGUUCCAGCAAGGAGGGAAGGGAAAACCCCUCAGGAGGGGCACAAGGAGCGGAGCCAGGCCAGCCUAGAGCAGUGCCCACAAGGAGAGAAGGGAAAGGAAAAUCCCUCAGGAAGGGCACAAGGAUGAGAGCCAGGCCAGCCUAGAGCAGUGACCACAAGAAUGGAAGGAAAGGGAAAAUCCCUCAGGAGGAGCCAGGCCAGCCCAGAGCAGUGCCCACAAGGAAAGAAGGGAAGAGAAAAUCCCUCAGGAAGGGCACAAGGAUGAGAGCAAGGCCAGCCCAGAGCAGUGCCCACAGGGAG